GUGAACGCUGGCGGUAGGCCUAACACAUGCAAGUCGAACGGCAGCACAGUAAGAGCUUGCUCUUACGGGUGGCGAGUGGCGGACGGGUGAGGAAUACAUCGGAAUCUACUUUUUCGUGGGGGAUAACGUAGGGAAACUUACGCUAAUACCGCAUACGACCUACGGGUGAAAGCAGGGGAUCUUCGGACCUUGCGCGAUUGAAUGAGCCGAUGUCGGAUUAGCUAGUUGGCGGGGUAAAGGCCCACCAAGGCGACGAUCCGUAGCUGGUCUGAGAGGAUGAUCAGCCACACUGGAACUGAGACACGGUCCAGACUCCUACGGGAGGCAGCAGUGGGGAAUAUUGGACAAUGGGCGCAAGCCUGAUCCAGCCAUACCGCGUGGGUGAAGAAGGCCUUCGGGUUGUAAAGCCCUUCUGUUGGGAAAGAAAAGCAGCAGGUUAAUACCCCGCUGUUCUGACGGUACCCAAAGAAUAAGCACCGGCUAACUUCGUG
rnacentral:rRNA from 1 species